UACGUAGGGUGCGAGCGUUGUCCGGAAUUACUGGGCGUAAAGGGUGUGUAGGCGGUUGUUUAAGUUUGGUGUGAAAUCUCCCGGCUCAACUGGGAGGGUGCGCCGAAUACUGAAUGACUUGGAGUGCGGGAGAGGAAAGUGGAAUUCCUGGUGUAGCGGUGAAAUGCGUAGAUAUCAGGAGGAACACCGGUGGUGUAGACGGCUUUCUGGACCGUAACUGACGCUGAGACACGAAAGCGUGGGUAGCAAACAGG
rnacentral:rRNA from 1 species